GGGGUUGUAGCUCAUCGGUAGAGUGCUCACCUUACACGUUCGAGACCCUGGGUUCAAUCCUCAGCACCACCU
rfam:Ictidomys tridecemlineatus contig028056, whole genome shotgun sequence.